rnacentral:lncRNA from 1 species
CACCAGGAGACGAUGGAAGGUCUAUAGUGUUACAGCUCUGACCCAGGAAGUCCCAGGGUCUUGCCUUCCAGAAGGGUCGCGGCUCUUCCCUCCCUCAGUCCAACGAACAGGAGCACGUCACCUCCCGCAGCUCGGGGAGCUGGCCAGGAACGUGUUACAGCCCGUUUCGCUCCUGUCCGCAGCUGGGUGAGGCAGCCAGGAAAAUAUUACAGCUCUUCUCACGCCCGCCAUUCAGCAGGUCCUGACUUCUUGUGUGACAUCCAGAAGAAAGGGGUUACACAGACAGCUGGAGGGUGAGCAAAGUGGAGAAGUUCUCAGCAGAGAGGAGACUGGAGUGAGUUGCCCCUACCCGCAGGUGCCAACUGUAAUACAUCAGUAGCUGAACAGCUCAUUGCCCUCAAGUGUUCUUGCUCAUGCCUGGCUGAGUUAUUGAAGAAAUUGCUCAGAUCUCAAGCCCUUGUAGAUCACUGGUCCUGGCAGAUGUUAAACCAGCAAAGAGUACAUAGAACAAACAUUUUUUUUAGAAGGAUUAAAUGGGACAAUUAAACAAUUUGAUCAGCAUAAUGUCCAGCUCAAGGAUCUUGGAGGUGGUGAGGCAGCCCAAGUGGAAAGGCAGCAGAAGGGGUAUCCUUGUUUUACCAAUUACUCAUAUGUAGGAGAUGGUGCAUUAAAUGAAAUAUUCUCUGCUCUCUCCUAACAUCUACCCCCUCACACCAAGAGGAAGGCAUGUCGCCUGAACCUUUGCAGUAUUCAAUUAAAGUUCUAUUCACACGGUAUUGCAGUUGUUUGCUUAUCUUUCUUUCUUAUUAGACUUAAAACUUCUGGAAACUAGAGGCUAUAUUACUUAUUUGCCUCAGAGUCCUGUUGGCCUAUCAAAUGGCACACCUUCAAUCCAAGAAUGAAUUAAUUAAAUAAAUGUGAAGAAAAAAAAAAUCCAAGUUGCUUAUUUUUGUUAAAUUUAUUUUUCCCCAAAAUAUUUACUGAGAAAAUGACUCUGGGAAGAUAGCAGAGUGGAAAGCCCCAGAAAUGUGUU